UGUUCUGUGGCUUAGUUGUUUAAAGCGCCGGUCUAGCGAAUACGGAGUCGUGGGUUCGAAUUCCACCAGAUCGC
rnacentral:tRNA from 1 species